rnacentral:rRNA from 1 species
AAUGAACGCUGGCGGCAUGCCUUACACAUGCAAGUCGAACGGCAGCAUGACCUAGCUUGCUAGGUUGAUGGCGAGUGGCGAACGGGUGAGUAAUGCAUCGGAACGUGCCUUUUAGUGGGGGAUAACGUAGCGAAAGUUACGCUAAUACCGCGUAUUCUCUGAGGAGGAAAGUAGGGGACCUUCGGGCCUUGCGCUAGAAGAGCGGCCGAUGUCGGAUUAGCUAGUUGGUGAGGUAAAGGCUCACCAAGGCAACGAUCCGUAGCGGGUCUGAGAGGAUGAUCCGCCACACUGGGACUGAGACACGGCCCAGACUCCUACGGGAGGCAGCAGUGGGGAAUUUUGGACAAUGGGCGCAAGCCUGAUCCAGCCAUGCCGCGUGAGUGAAGAAGGCCUUCGGGUUGUAAAGCUCUUUCGGCUGGGAAGAAAUCGCACCCUCUAAUACAGGGUGUGGAUGACGGUACCAGCAUAAGAAGCACCGGCUAACUACGUG